rnacentral:rRNA from 1 species
GACGAACGCUGGCGGCGCGCCUAACACAUGCAAGUCGAACGAGCGAGCGAGAGCUUGCUUUCUUGAGCGAGUGGCGAACGGGUGAGUAACGCGUGAGGAACCCGCCUCAAAGAGGGGGACAACAGUUGGAAACGACUGCUAAUACCGCAUAGGCCCACGGUGCCGCCUGGCACAGAGGGAAAAGGAGCAAUCCGCUUUGAGAUGGCCUCGCGUCCGAUUAGCUAGUUGGUGAGGUAACGGCCCACCAAGGCGACGAUCGGUAGCCGGACUGAGAGGUUGAACGGCCACAUUGGGACUGAGACACGGCCCAGACUCCUACGGGAGGCAGCAGUGGGGAAUAUUGCACAAUGGGGGAAACCCUGAUGCAGCGACGCCGCGUGGAGGAAGAAGGUCUUCGGAUUGUAAACUCCUGUUGUUGGGGAAGAUAAUGACGGUACCCAACAAGGAAGUGACGGCUAACUACGUG